GACUAGCUUAGGGUUUCAUUGUUAUUUCUUCGCCUCCUCAACUUCGUCGUCUCCGAUAUUUCCCUGUAAAUACAAUGUUUUUUCCUGUUAACCUUCCAUUUCGUUCAGCGAAUGAAUAUUCACCAUCACUCUCAAUUAAACUUCUUAAUCAAGCUUGAUUCUUCGAUAAUGUCUUCUUCCGAUGUUGUUGUUGCGCAAUCAGUUGACCCGGUUCUUUGUUUCUCGGCUUCUCCGUUUUUGGGACUAGAAAAACCUCAAAAAGCAUGGUGAAUUCAUGGGAAUCACCCUACUUCUCCUUGAUGAGAAGACACUGGUUCCAGACACCGAAGGUUGGACAAUGGAUGGGCAUUAGGAUUCACUGAUAUACAAGACCUCAGUGUUGUGAGACCCCGCCGGCUCUUAACCCGGUCUCCGGUCGGGUCAUGUGGAGAAGCUGGGUGGGCUUGAAGCUUACGUCUCUGGCUCUCCCGAUUCCAAGUUGUGCGCCAUCCUCAUCUCUGAUGUUCUUGGGUAUGAAGCUCCAAACUUGAGCAAGUCUUUUGGUCACGGUUUGAUUGCAUUCUCUGCGGUCAUUGUUCCUUAUUGCAAGUUUAGAAGAAGACGAUUAGAUUCUAUGAUGAAUUCCUUGCGUCGUCACUACCAACCAGCACGGUCAGCAAUUCAUUCCAUCUGAAUUAAUUUAUUGUGUCCUUGAGAUGGUUUGAGUUCUGGGAAUGUUCGAGUUGACGAUAGUGCUGCUGUUGAUAUUUGAAGGAUUGGAUUGUAUUUACAGCUUUAUUGUGUAAUGCUUUAGUUUUUUUUUAAUUUGUUUGUGUUUGUUUGAUAAUUUUUCAUUUGCCUACUGUUGCACAACACCCUUAUCUUAUCUCUGUAUAUGCAAUUCAGGUGGAGUAAUAGUAUGGAAUCAUAUAUAUUUUUAUGUCCU